rnacentral:tRNA from 1 species
GUCCUGAUAGUAUAAACAUUACACUGGUCUUGUAAACCAGCAAUGAAAAGAAUUUUUCUCAGGACA